AGAGUUUUUACAACUCCCAAACCCCUGUGAACAUACCUUUUGUUGCCUCGGCAGGCCCUGGCCUACCCUGUAGCGCCCCUACGCUGUAGGGCUUGCUCUAGGGGGGUGCUGGGGGAACCUGCCGGCGGCUCGCAAAACUCUGUUUAGCAUUGAAUUCUGAACACAUAACUAAAUAAGUUAAAACUUUCAACAACGGAUCUCUUGGUUCUGGCAUCGAUGAAGAACGCAGCGAAAUGCGAUAAGUAAUGUGAAUUGCAGAAUUCAGUGAAUCAUCGAAUCUUUGAACGCACAUUGCGCCCAUUAGUAUUCUAGUGGGCAUGCCUGUUCGAGCGUCAUUUCAACCCUUAAGCCUCUGUUGCUUAGCGUUGGGAGCCUACGGCAGCGUAGCUCCCCAAAGUUAGUGGCGUGGUCGGUUCACACUCCAGACGUAGUAUAUUUUUUUCACCUCGCCUGUAGCUGGACCGGUCCCCUGCCGUAAAACACCCCAAUUUUUAAAGGUUGACCUCGGAUCAGGUAGGAAUACCCGCUGAACUUAAGCAUAUCAAUAAGCGGAGGAAAAGAAACCAACAGGGAUUGCCCUAGUAACGGCGAGUGAAGCGGCAACAGCUCAAAUUUGAAAUCUGGCCCUCGGGUCCGAGUUGUAAUUUGUAGAGGAUGCUUUUGGCGCGGUGCCUUCCGAGUUCCCUGGAACGGGACGCCUUAGAGGGUGAGAGCCCCGUACGGUUGGACACCAAGCCUCUGUAAAGCUCCUUCGACGAGUCGAGUAGUUUGGGAAUGCUGCUCUAAAUGGGAGGUAAAUUUCUUCUAAAGCUAAAUAUUGGCCAGAGACCGAUAGCGCACAAGUAGAGUGAUCGAAAGAUGAAAAGCACUUUGAAAAGAGGGUUAAAUAGCACGUGAAAUUGUUGAAAGGGAAGCGUUUGCGACCAGACCUUUUCCUAGCGGAUCAUCCGGUGUUCUCACCGGUGCACUUCGCUAGGUUUAGGCCAGCAUCGGUUUCUAUAGGGGGAUAAAAGCUCUGGGAACGUAGCUCCUCCGGGAGUGUUAUAGCCCUCUGCAUAAUACCCUUACAGGGACCGAGGACCGCGCU
rnacentral:rRNA from 1 species